rnacentral:sRNA from 1 species
ACCUCCCAACAGGAAGUAGGCACAUGAAGCCUCCCAACAGGAGGUGCAUCUGCUGAGAAAUGCUGGCGAUGAAGUUACCAUCACCGUUGAGUAUCUCAGGGAAGCGCCGGCAUUUCUGAAGCUCCCGUUAGGGUCCCCAGGGCCAUCCAGCGACCACAGCAGUGGGGCCUCCUCUCCCCUCUUUGACAGCGGUUUGCAUCUGAAUGGAAACUCCAGUACCACAGCACUCACCUUAUUUCAGAAGGAGAAGGCAGAUGGGCUCUAUAGUAGUCAUAAUGGAAACAGACCUACUGCAGAUAAGCAGAUUUUGAAAAGUGAUACUGCAAGUCAGAAUUAUACUGCUAAAUACUCUAAUUUGUUUUGCAAAGGAGAGUAUCAUGUUUAAAUAGUCAUACCAAA